rnacentral:rRNA from 1 species
UAGUUGGUGGGGUAAAGGCCUACCAAGGCGACGAUCUGUAGCGGGUCUGAGAGGAUGAUCCGCCACACUGGAACUGAGACACGGUCCAGACUCCUACGGGAGGCAGCAGUGGGGAAUUUUGGACAAUGGGGGCAACCCUGAUCCAGCCAUGCCGCGUGAGUGAAGAAGGCCUUCGGGUUGUAAAGCUCUUUCGUCCGGGAAGAAAUCGCACAGGCUAAUACUCUGUGUGGAUGACGGUACCGGAAUAAGAAGCACCGGCUAACUACGUGCCAGCAGCCGCGGUAAUACGUAGGGUGCGAGCGUUAAUCGGAAUUACUGGGCGUAAAGCGUGCGCAGGCGGUUUUGUAAGACAGGCGUGAAAUCCCCGGGCUCAACCUGGGAACUGCGCUUGUGACUGCAAGGCUAGAGUACGGCAGAGGGGGGUGGAAUUCCACGUGUAGCAGUGAAAUGCGUAGAGAUGUGGAGGAACACCGAUGGCGAAGGCAGCCCCCUGGGCCGAUACUGACGCUCAUGCACGAAAGCGUGGGUAGCAAACAGGAUUAGAUACCCUGGUAGUCCACGCCCUAAACGAUGUCAACUAGGUGUUGGGUGGGUAAAACCAUUUAGUACCGUAGCUAACGCGUGAAGUUGACCGCCUGGGGAGUACGGCCGCAAGGUUAAAACUCAAAGGAAUUGACGGGGACCCGCACAAGCGGUGGAUGAUGUGGAUUAAUUCGAUGCGACGCGAAAAACCUUACCUACCCUUGACAUGUCCGGAAUCCCUGAGAGAUUGGGGAGUGCCCGAAAGGGAAUCGGAACACAGGUGCUGCAUGGCUGUCGUCAGCUCGUGUCGUGAGAUGUUGGGUUAAGUCCCGCAACGAGCGCAACCCUUGUCGUUAAUUGCCAUCAUUAAGUUGGGCACUUUAGCGAGACUGCCGG